rnacentral:rRNA from 1 species
AUUGAACGCUGGCGGCAGGCUUAACACAUGCAAGUCGAGCGGAGAUGAGGUGCUUGCACCUUAUCUUAGCGGCGGACGGGUGAGUAAUGCUUAGGAAUCUGCCUAUUAGUGGGGGACAACAUUCCGAAAGGAAUGCUAAUACCGCAUACGUCCUACGGGAGAAAGCAGGGGAUCUUCGGACCUUGCGCUAAUAGAUGAGCCUAAGUCGGAUUAGCUAGUUGGUGGGGUAAAGGCCUACCAAGGCGACGAUCUGUAGCGGGUCUGAGAGGAUGAUCCGCCACACUGGGACGGAGACACGGCCCAGACUCCUACGGGAGGCAGCAGUGGGGAAUAUUGGACAAUGGGGGGAACCCUGAUCCAGCCAUGCCGCGUGUGUGAAGAAGGCCUUAUGGUUGUAAAGCACUUUAAGCGAGGAGGAGGCUACUGAGACUAAUACUCUUGGAUAGUGGUCGUUACUCGCAGAAUAAGCACCGGCUAACUCUGUGCCAGCCGCCGCAGUAACAC